UACGUAGGGGGCUAGCGUUGUCCGGAAUCAUUGGGCGUAAAGAGCGUGUAGGCGGCCCGGUAAGUCCGCUGUGAAAGUCGGGGGCUCAACCCUCGAAUGCCGGUGGAUACUGUCGGGCUAGAGUGCGGAAGAGGCGAGUGGAAUUCCUGGUGUAGCGGUGAAAUGCGCAGAGUAUCAGGAGGAACACCGAUUGCGAAGGCAGCUCGCUGGGACGUUACUGACGCUGGAGACGCGAAAGCGUGGGGAGCAAACAGG
rnacentral:rRNA from 1 species